rnacentral:rRNA from 1 species
GAGUUUGAUCUUGGCUCAGGAUGAACGCUGGCGGCGUGCCUAACACAUGCAAGUCGAACGGAACCUUCGCAAGAGGGUUGAGUGGCGCACGGGUGAGGAACACGUAGCUGACCUGCCUUCCAGCGGGGGAUAACGUCCCGAAAGGGAUGCUAAGACCGCAUAAGCUCACAGGGCUUAGAAACCUGGGAGAAAAAGCUUCGGCUACUGGAAGAGGGGGCUGCGGCCCAUCAGGUAGUUGGCGGGGUAACGGCCCACCAAGCCGACGACGGGUCGGGGAUCUGAGAGGAUGAUCCCCCACACUGGGACUGAGACACGGCCCAGACUCCUACGGGAGGCAGCAGUGAGGGAUAUUGCACAAUGGGGGGAACCCUGAUGCAGCGACGCCGCGUGGGUGAUGAAGGUCUUCGGAUCGUAAAGCCCUUUUCUGCGUGACGAAACCAGACGGUAGCGCAGGAAUAAGUCUCGGCUAACUACGUGCCAGCCGCCGCGGU